rnacentral:misc_RNA from 1 species
GAUGAAGAACGUAGCGAAAUGCGAUAAGUAGUGUGAAUUGCAGAAUUCAGUGAAUCAUCGAAUCUUUGAACGCACAUUGCGCCCCUUGGUAUUCCGAGGGGCAUGCCUGUUCGAGCGUCAUUAUCACCCCUCAAGCUCAGCUUGGUGUUGGGGCCUGCUGCACUGGCAGCCCUUAAAAUCAGUGGCGGCGCCAUCUGGCUCUAAGCGUAGUAAUUCUUCUCGCUAUGGAGUCCUGGUGGAUGCUUGCCAUCAACCCCCAAUUUUUCUAUGGUUGACCUCGGAUCAGGUAGGGAUACCCGCUGAACUUAAGCAUAUCAAUAAGCGGAGGA